rnacentral:rRNA from 1 species
AGCGAACGCUGGCAGCAGGCCUAACACAUGCAAGUCGAACGGACCCCUCGGGGUUAGUGGCGGACGGGUGAGUAACACGUGGGAACGUGCCUUUAGGUUCGGAAUAGCUCCUGGAAACGGGUGGUAAUGCCGAAUGUGCCCUUCGGGGGAAAGAUUUAUCGCCUUUAGAGCGGCCCGCGUCUGAUUAGCUAGUUGGUGAGGUAAUGGCUCACCAAGGCGACGAUCAGUAGCUGGUCUGAGAGGAUGACCAGCCACAUUGGGACUGAGACACGGCCCAAACUCCUACGGGAGGCAGCAGUGGGGAAUCUUGCGCAAUGGGCGAAAGCCUGACGCAGCCAUGCCGCGUGAAUGAUGAAGGUCUUAGGAUUGUAAAAUUCUUUCACCGGGGACGAUAAUGACGGUACCCGGAGAAGAAGCCCCGGCUAACUCCGUGCCAGCAGCCGCCGUAACAC